rnacentral:rRNA from 1 species
UUUGCAGAAGGUGCUUCGGGUGCGGCCCCCGGUCCAAGUCCCUUGGAACAGGGCGUCACGGAGGGUGAGAAUCCCGUACGCGACCCACGGCCAAGCCCGUCGAAGCCCUUUCGAAGAGUCGAGUUGUUUGGGAAUGCAGCUCAAAGCGGGUGGUAAAUUUCAUCUAAAGCUAAAUAUCUGCCGGAGACCGAUAGCGCACAAGUAGAGUGAUCGAAAGAUGAAAAGCACUUUGAAAAGAGAGUCAAACAGUACGUGAAAUUGUUGAAAGGGAAGCGCUUGCAACCAGACUCGUACGCGGGGGCUCAACCGCCCUUCGGGGCGGUGCAUUCUCCCGUCUCGGGCCAGCAUCGAUUCGAGCAGCCGGACAAAGGUCGAGGGGACGUGGCUCCUUCCGGAGUGUUAUAACCCUCGAUCGCAUGCGGCUAGUUCGGAUCGAGGACCGCGCACCGCUAGGAUGCUGGCGUAAUGGUUGCCAGCGACCCGUCUUGAAAACACGG